UACACCCGAGCAUACCCGGACCCCGGUACAUUAAGCCACCAAACGCAUGAUAAACCCGAUGGCUUAUUAUACGAGUAUAAUGGACACCAAUCACACCAUACAACUUCACAAGGUUCCUCUUCUUUUUGUUUAAAACUGCUUCCAAUAGGAGGAAGCGUAACUCUCCAACUGCAACUGCAACUGCAACUAAAGCUAACCAGAGAAAAAUGUCGAGACAGAGAUGCUACCUUGAUGUUACCAUUGCCGAUGAGCUCGAAGGCAGGAUUGUCAUCGAGCUUUUCAACGACGUCGUUCCCAAAACCGCCGAGAAUUUCCGAGCUCUUUGCACCGGCGAGAAAGGCAUCGGACCUCAUUCCGGCGUUCCGCUUCAUUACAAGGGAUGUCCGUUUCACCGUGUUAUCAAGAGUUUUAUGAUCCAAGGAGGAGAUAUUUCAGCUGGAGAUGGUACUGGAGGGGAGUCAAUAUAUGGGUUGAAAUUCGAGGACGAGAACUUUGAGUUGAAACAUGAACGGAAAGGAAUGUUAUCAAUGGCUAAUAGCGGGCCUAACACUAAUGGAUCUCAGUUUUUCAUUACUACUACUAAGACUUCUCAUCUAGAUGGGAAACAUGUUGUGUUUGGUAAAGUGAUCAAGGGUAUGAGCAUUGUUCGAUCCAUCGAGCAUGUCAAUACAGAUACUGAUGAACGCCCUACACAGGAUGUUGUUAUUUCUGAUUGUGGAGAAAUUCAUGAGGGGGAUGAUGAUGGAACCUCGAAUUUCUUCAAGGAUGGUGAUAAUUAUCCGGAUUGGCCUGCUGAUCUCGACCAUUGUCCUGAUGAACUCUCUUGGUGGACUGAUGCUGUUGAUUCUAUUAAGGCACUUGGUAAUGAACAUUUCAAGAAACAAGACUAUAAGAUGGCUCUAAGGAAGUAUAGAAAAGCACUACGCUACGUAGAUACUUGCUGGGAGAAAGAUGGGUUGGAUGAAGAUAAAAGUGCAACUAUGCGAAAGAUCAAGUCACAGAUCUUCACAAACAGUUCUGCUUGUAAAUUGAAGCUGGGCGAUUUGAAAGGCGCUUUGGUAGAUACUGAAUUCGCAAUGCGCGAUGGGGAGGAUAAUGUGAAGGCUUUGUUUCGCCAAGGCCAGGCUCAUAUGGCGCUUAAUGACAUAGAUGCUGCAGUUGUAAGUUUCAAAAAGGCAUCAGACCUGGAGCCUAAUGAUGCUGGAAUAAAGAGAGAAUUAGCAGCUGCAAAGAAGAAGAUUGCUGAUAGACGUGACCAGGAGAGAAAAGCCUACUCUAAGAUGUUCCAAUAGCUCUCCUGCACCAUUUGAGUUGGUGUUGUUAGUGGGUUUAGGCAUUAUGCUUUACAGGCUUCGCUCUAGCUUUAUACUAGUAACCGUAAAGAACUUUAUGAAACAGAGGUACAUGAAAAAAGUGACCUUUGGUUUGUGGUGAAAGGAUGAUAGAAACAUCAGGGUGCUGCCUGCAAAGUACGAUGCCUGAGCCAGGUUUGCUGAGGAAGUUCAAAAAUACUUUUAAGAUUUUGCUGAAGAGAGCAAAGUUCUUAUACAGAUAACAGUUCCAUUGAAAAUGGGAAGCUGGUGGGAAAUUGGACCUAAAUUUUUAUUUUUUCCCUAUUUUGUACCUUUUCAGAUUGUAUUACUUUUGGUCUUAAGCCAUGAAAACUAAUCUUUCUCCUUGCUCAAGGAUAUCCUUUAACACCCCCCAGUUGAACCCAGACAGUGUCUUUUGAGUUUUGACAAUGAAUCAUCCUCUCCAUGA